GAUGAACGCUAGCGGCAGGCCUAAUACAUGCAAGUCGAACGGUGUCUUCGGACAUAGUGGCGCACGGGUGCGUAACACGUAUGCAACCUACCUUACAUUGGGGGAUAGCCUUUCGAAAGGGAGGUUAAUACCGCAUAAGACAGUAGCUGGGCAGCCAGCAGCUGUUAAAGAUUUAUCGAUGUAAGCUGGGCAUGCGUCCAAUUAGCUAGUUGGUGAGGUAACGGCUCACCAAGGCAAUGAUUGGUAGGGGAACUGAGAGGUCAAUCCCCCACACUGGCACAGGGAUACGGGCCAGACGCCUACGGGAGGCAGCAGUAGGGAAUAUGGGGCAAUGGACGCAAGUCUGACCCAGCCAUGCCGCGUGCAGGAUGAAGGCGUUAUGCGUUGUAAACUGCUUUUAUACAGGAAGAAGCGACUCUUGCGAGAGGCAUUGACGGUACUGUAUGAAUAAGCACCGGCUAACUCCGUGCCAGCCGCCGCCGUAACAC
rnacentral:rRNA from 1 species